UACGAGGGGGGCAAGCGUUGUUCGGAAUUAUUGGGCGUAAAGGGCGCGUAGGCGGUGCGGUAAGUCACCUGUGAAAACUCUGGGCUCAACUCAGAGCCCUGCAGGCGAAACUGCCGUGCUUGAGUGUGGGAGAGGUGCGUGGAAUUCCCGGUGGUAGCGGUGAAAUGCGUAGAUAUCGGGAGGAACACCUGUGGCGAAAGCGGCGCACCUGGACCACAACUGACGCUGAGGCGCGAAAGCUAGGGGGAGCAAACAGG
rnacentral:rRNA from 1 species